rnacentral:rRNA from 1 species
GUCUAUGGCCAUGCUACCCUGAACAAGCCCAAUCCUGUCUGAUCUCGGAAGCUAAGCAGGGUCGGGCCUGGUUAGUACUUGGAUAGGAAACCACCUAGGAAUACCGGGUGCUGUAGGUG